rnacentral:lncRNA from 1 species
UUUAAUAUAAUUAGCAUCUCGACUUUUAGACAUUGAUGAUAUUAUAUACACGUAAUUAUUAUAGGCAAUCCUUUCAUUCUCAUUUAAUUUGUUUAAUCCACCUGUUAAUAAAGAAAAAGCUAACUAAAGUGAUGAAUUUAUAAUUGUCAAUUGCUCAACUGUUCAAAAUCAAAUGCUAAAAACAAAUUCAUUAAAUAAUGAAAUUUGUAAGUGUUGCAUUUUAGACUUUUAGUUAAUUUCUCUAUAAAAAGAAUAAAAAAAAAAAGCUGAGUGCAUAAAUUACUUUUUUGUGUUUAAGUAUUUAAGUUUUUAUUAGGAAAAUUUUAUUUGAACUCGUUUAACUUUUUUCUACAUCUAACUUAUUCUCUUCAUCCAUAUUAUUUUAUUUAUUAAAGAAUUAAUAUCUUUUUAAACUCAAAUUAUUACCUAAAUUACCAUUUCAAACCCAAUUCAAAAUGUAAAAUUAUCUUUACACCCAUUCUCUUUAUAAAAUAACACAUCUAAUUGAAUGUUUUUUUUUCUUCAAAGAGGCGUCAUUUGCCCCUCUAUAAUUGCUUA